UGCAAGUCGAGCGGAGAGAGGUAGCUUGCUACUGAUCUUAGCGGCGGACGGGUGAGUAAUGCUUAGGAAUCUGCCUAUUAGUGGGGGACAACAUUUCGAAAGGAAUGCUAAUACCGCAUACGUCCUACGGGAGAAAGCAGGGGAUCUUCGGACCUUGCGCUAAUAGAUGAGCCUAAGUCGGAUUAGCUAGUUGGUGGGGUAAAGGCCUACCAAGGCGACGAUCUGUAGCGGGUCUGAGAGGAUGAUCCGCCACACUGGGACUGAGACACGGCCCAGACUCCUACGGGAGGCAGCAGUGGGGAAUAUUGGACAAUGGGCGCAAGCCUGAUCCAGCCAUGCCGCGUGUGUGAAGAAGGCCUUAUGGUUGUAAAGCACUUUAAGCGAGGAGGAGGCUACUUUAGUUAAUACCUAGAGAUAGUGGACGUUACUCGCAGAAUAAGCACCGGCUAACUCUGUGCCAGCAGCCGCGGUAAUACAGAGGGUGCAAGCGUUAAUCGGAUUUACUGGGCGUAAAGCGCGCGUAGGCGGCUAAUUAAGUCAAAUGUGAAAUCCCCGAGCUUAACUUGGGAAUUGCAUUCGAUACUGGUUAGCUAGAGUGUGGGAGAGGAUGGUAGAAUUCCAGGUGUAGCGGUGAAAUGCGUAGAGAUCUGGAGGAAUACCGAUGGCGAAGGCAGCCAUCUGGCCUAACACUGACGCUGAGGUGCGAAAGCAUGGGGAGCAAACAGGAUUAGAUACCCUGGUAGUCCAUGCCGUAAACGAUGUCUACUAGCCGUUGGGGCCUUUGAGGCUUUAGUGGCGCAGCUAACGCGAUAAGUAGACCGCCUGGGGAGUACGGUCGCAAGACUAAAAC
rnacentral:rRNA from 1 species